UAAGGCCAACAGCACUCGUGUCUAAGAUUAAUAAUCGAGGUUUAUUGCAUCUAUCUCAAGCCUCUCUCUUUCGGUACCUUUCUGCAACUCCAAAUGAAAACCUUAACGAUCUCUCAAAAUCUUUGCUAAAUUGAUCCCCCCAAGAAAACCUAGAAGCUCCAGCACCUCAAAUCCUACAGUACUUCACCUAACCGCCGCCAUCUCCUACUCAUGCUGCCACCUUCUUCUCUGUAAUUUUGUUAUCAUGUCUGCUUCGAGAAUAUGGCCCCUAAUAAAAGUUGGAUGCACAAUAUUGAUAAUCGUGCUACUUGUGAAGAUUAUGCUAUUGGAUAAUAAAACUGGUACUCUUGAGAUAGUUGACAUAAUGCCGGGGGCGGAGAUGAAGGUUGUGAGGGAGAGCCCGACGUUGACUAUUGUUAGGUUUAAGGCGGGGAGCGGGGAGCCGGCGCAUCACCAUAGUUUCGGGCACGACGUGAUGGUGAUGAAAGGGAGGAAGAGGGUUUGGAACCUGGGGAAGAAGGAGAGCUUGGGCUUGGAACCUGGGAAAGGCGAGGUCCGAGACUGACAGGGAGCUUGGACUUGGAGAGGGAGGGGGGAGCAAAUGAGGACUUGCCACCGGAGCGAGCUUUUGCUGAUUUUGUCCUCUGCAAUCUGAUUCUCCACCUUGUGAUCAUGAACUUAUUCGAAUAGAACUGUAUUAAUAUAAGUUGGAAACUGCAGCAAUAUGUAUUAGGUCUUAUCAGUUUUUGGACAUGUCCAUUUAUGGUACUCACAUAAUUGUUUACCUGGUUGAAGAUUGUACUCUUGCCUCACAAUUCUCAGGAUGAAUGAUGUAUUCAACUAAAACUCGAGAUCAAAGUUCUUAUUUAUUUUUGAUGACUGAUAUUGCAUGA